UCAUCUUAUCGUGUACAAUCC
rnacentral:piRNA from 1 species